UACGUAGGGACCAAGCGUUGUUCGGAUUUACUGGGCGUAAAGGGCGCGUAGGCGGCGUGUUAAGUCACUUGUGAAAUCUCUAAGCUUAACUUAGAACGGUCAAGUGAUACUGAUGUGCUAGAGUGCAGAAGGGGCAACCGGAAUUCUUGGUGUAGCGGUGAAAUGCGUAGAUAUCAAGAGGAACACCUGAGGUGAAGACGGGUUGCUGGGCUGACACUGACGCUGAGGCGCGAAAGCUAGGGGGGAGCAAACGGG
rnacentral:rRNA from 1 species